CCACAACAUCAGUUAACAAGCAAGUUAAGAGCUGAACUACUGGAGCUGGGAAUGCUGUAAUGAUUCCUACGUGCAGAAAGUUGGAAUGAAGAACAGCCAGGGUCAGCUGAGGUAGUUACACUCCAGUCUCAACCUCCACCUCUCUGAAACCCACUGCUCUGAACCCCACGCCCUCCUGGAUGAUGAUCACAUCGCUUGGUGAACCCUUGUCCUGCACAAUAAUGCACUCGUCCUCACGCUUGGAGAUGGUAAUUUCAAUUAUGUCCUUUGUUGAUGGCAGCUCAGCAGCUCUCCUUCUAGGUUCUGGCGGGCUGCCUCGAGGCUGGUAAGCAGCAAUGCGGUGACCACUGGCUGUGAUCAACAACUGUGUGUUAUUUUCUGGCCCCGGCACCUCCAGCAUAAGCAAGGCGGGCUCUGCCACAGCCUCCUCGUGGGAGGGGCUCUUCCUCUGAGGCCGGAGUAGACCCACAACAGGAGACACCUAUGCAGCGCUCAUUUCCUCAGGAUCCUUUUCUGCCUGGUGGGUGAGCAUGUAGCGUGCAAGACUGUGGAAGGGUGUAGCCCAUGACAGACAGCUCGCAUUUGUAGGGCUUGUCAGCCAGGAGGCAUUGCUGGUGGCACCGCAGCUUUGUGGCCAGGGAGUAGGACUUGCCGCACUGCUCACAGUGGGAAGGGCGCUCGCCUGCGUGCAGGCACUUGUGGGCACACAGCACGUGGGGGUCUCACGGUGCCUUGCCACACACAGCACAUAGGUGGGCCUCGCCCAUGUGGGAGAUGAGAUGGCACUGCAGCUCUGGCAGUUUGGGGAGGGCAUCACUGCAGAAAUGGCACUUUUAGGGCUUCUGACCCGUAUGCAGCCGGAGGUGCUCACACGGCUUGCUCUGCUGUCAGAAGUCCUUGCUGCAGUAGGGACAAGUGUAAGGCCACUCGUCUGUGUGCAGACGCAUGUGGUUGUGCAAAGAACUAGGGUUGGCCAGGCAGCAUCUGCAAAUGGCACACUGGCAUCCCUUGGGAUCAACUGGGUCGGUCCCAGCAGCCACGUGGAUCUUCCUGUGAAUGCGCAGAGAGGGCUGGCGUGCACAAGCCUUGCCACACUGCUCACAGGAGAAGGGGCUCUGGCUGGAGUGCAGGACCUGGUGCUCCCACAGGUCUCACUUCGCGUGGUAAGCCUUCUCACACUGGGUGCACUGGAAAGGCCGCACACCCUGGUGGGCCAACAGAUGGGCCUUGAAGCUGUUCUCUGAGCUGUUGCUCUUUUCAUACUCUAUGCACAGGUAGCACUUGUGGCCAGCAUGGACAAAGCGGUGCUUCUUGAGGUGGCAGAGCUGCAGGAAGGCUCUGCCACGCUCCCUGCAGUAGUGCGCGCUUGACCACCUCGUCCUUCUGGGACAGCGAUUCUGGGAGUGGGCUUGGGCUGCCAGAAGGACCUUCUGCUAGCUCCCUACAGCUCUCCUGUCCUGCAGCCUCCUCCAGUGGGCCCUUCUUUCCAUGCUCUGGGGAUGCCAAUUUAGAGACUUUGGAAAUGUUUCUUUCUUUCCUGCAAGUAGCUACAUAUUGUUCUUUACGACUGGGCUGCUGGGGGUCCUGCCCAGCUGUUCUGGCAUCACUGGCCCACAUGCCCACACAAGCAGCAAGUUGAACCCCACUUGAGGAUAAUCCAGGUCUCCGGAAUGUGCCUCUUUUUGCCCCAUCUCCACUUUUUCUGAUGUGGAUCCGUGACCCACACCCUUGUCCUGCUCUUCCCUGCACCUGCCGCUGGCUUUGAUGUUUGAGAUGGCCUUGAGGUGCUCAUUCUCAGUCCUCGGCACUUUGGCUUGCCAUGGCUCACGUCUGGGAGAAGUGCCUUCCUCUCCUGGCAGCCCAUGGCAGUGUUUGGUGGCCGGCCUCCGAGCUUCAACGGGACAUCAAGGACUCUGGUUUUGUCAGGCCCUGCUCCGGAGAAGUAGGAAUCGCCUGCACAAACACAAAAGCACACUGGGUGAAUUACCACUGGCUGUUACUGGGUCAGAGAACAAACCUCGGAGAAAGACACUGCUACCAGCCAUCGCAGGUCUCUGCAGGAAAACCAUCGCUUCUAUGACUUCAUUUAUCUUUUUAACGAGGGAAGCUGGGCAAAGCCUUUCUUCCCUCACCGCAGAAGGCAGCCGGGCAGUAUUUCUACCACCCGGGGAGGGCACAGCUCUGCAGCGGGUGCUCCGC
ensembl:lncRNA